GUCGCCAUGUCUGUUAAGGGGAAAGCUUGAGGCGGCUUCACCCUACUCCCGUCCACGUGCCUGCGCCAAGCCACUUCGGGGCGGAAGUAACGGGACAGAACUAAGCCCCCUUAAAGGGACAGGGAUCCCUGCAACUUAAGGGAUGCGUUACUCUGGCCAGAGCGGCCAAGUGACCCAAGCUGACGCAAGUAUCCGCUCACCUCCUUUGUUCGGGUUCCGAUCGCCAUUGGGCCAGCGUCCUCAUACCUUUAGUGCUGCUCGUUAGCUGACUCGCUGCCCAAACUCUUCAGGUGCCCGCAAAUGUAACUGCCCUGCUGAUGCUGACGCGCGCCUCGACACGUCCGGCUUGCGACGGUUGUCCCUGAAAAGCCGCAUAAUUCCGAGUUAACUGAAUGGCUUCUCCGCCGCCGCUGCAAUAAACACAGUUGAACUAAA